rnacentral:rRNA from 1 species
UACAGAGACUGCAAGCGUUAUUCGGAUUCACUGGGCGUAAAGGGUGCGUAGGUGGCAGGGUAAGUCGGAUGUGAAAUCCCGGGGCUCAACCUCGGAACUGCAUUCGAUACUGCUUUGCUUGAGUACUGGAGAGGAGAUUGGAAUUUACGGUGUAGCAGUGAAAUGCGUAGAUAUCGUAAGGAAGACCAGUGGCGAAGGCGGAUCUCUGGACAGUUACUGACACUGAGGCACGAAGGCCAGGGGAGCAAACGGG